CCAAAAUUUAUUCUUAUUUGGUUAUGAAUCUUUCAAAACAGUCAUUGUAUGCAUAGGAGAGCAGAUUUUUUUUGAUCUGGAUAGGUUGGAGAGCUGGGCGAUCACCAACCGCAUGAAGUUCAAUAAGAGCAAGUGCCGGGUCCUGCACCUGGGACGGGGAAACCCUGGCUGCAUGUACAGACUGGGCGAUGAGACGCUGGAGAGCAGCCUAGAAGAGAGGGAUCUGGGGGUCGUGGUAGACAGCAAGUUGAAUAUGAGCCAGCAGUGUGCCCUGGCGGCCAGGAGGUCCAACCGUGUCCUGGGGUGCAUCAAGCACGGCAUCGCUAGUAGGUCAAGGGAGGUGAUUGUCCCGCUCUACUCUGCGCUGGUGCGGCCUCACCUCGAGUACUGCGUGCAGUUCUGGGCACCACAGUAUAAAAAGGACAUGAAACUGUUGGAGAGUGUACAGAGGAGGGCUACGAAGAUGGUGAAAGGCCUGGAGGGGAAGACGUACGAGGAACGGCUGAGGUCACUGGGCCUGUUCAGCCUGGAGAAGAGGAGGCUGAGGGGGGACCUCAUCACAGUCUACAACUUCCUCGUAAGGGGGUGUCGAGAGGCAGGAGACCUAUUCUCCAUUAACACCAGUGACAGGACCCGCGGGAACGGGGUUAAGCUGAGGCAGGGGAAAUUUAGGCUUGACAUCAGGAGGGGGUUCUUCACAGAGAGGGUGGUUGCACACUGGAACAGGCUCCCCAGGGAAGUGGUCACUGCACCAAGCCUGUCUGAAUUUAAGAAGAGAUUGGACUGUGCACUUAGUCACAUGGUCUGAACUUUUGGGUAGACCUGUGCGGUGUCAAGAGUUGGACUUGAUGAUCCUUAAGGGUCCCUUCCAACUCAGGACAUUCUAUGAUUCUAUGAUUCUAUGAUUCUAUGAUUUUGACACUUGCUAUUUAAUGUACAUAUAUACUUCAAAUUAUUCUCUUAAAUGAUCACUUAGUGCAAGACACAGUGAAUGUUUUAUUUACACUAGCAGUAGGUUAGGUAUUGAAAUUUUCAUUAUCCAAGUUUU
rnacentral:lncRNA from 1 species